rfam:Ipomoea nil DNA, scaffold: scaffold2036, cultivar: Tokyo-kokei standard.
AUACUUACCUGGACGGGGUCAAUGGGUGAUCAUGAAGACUCAUGGCCUAGAUUAGUGACUUUCAUUGCACUUUGAAAGGGUACUAGUUUAAAGUCUGCUCAAGUAGCGGAGCUUACGUCAUAAUUUAUGGCAGUGGGGGUUUGCGUUCGCGCAGCCCCCUC